GUGUCAGCAGCCGCGGUAAUACGGAGGAUCCAAGCGUUAUCCGGAUUUAUUGGGUUUAAAGGGUGCGUAGGUGGCUUUUUAAGUCAGGGGUGAAAGACGGUAGCUUAACUAUCGCAGUGCCUUUGAUACUGAAGAGCUUGAAUGAACUAGAGGUAGGCGGAAUGUGACAAGUAGCGGUGAAAUGCAUAGAUAUGUCACAGAACACCAAUUGCGAAGGCAGCUUACUAUGGUUUUAUUGACACUGAGGCACGAAAGCGUGGGGAUCAAACAGGAUUAGAAACCCUCGUAGUCC
rnacentral:rRNA from 1 species